UAUUUUGUACAGCUUCUAUAAAAUUUCGUAUGUUUGUUUAGGCUGUUAAUCUAGAGGCUGGAGUACAAAGAAGUGGCACAAUGAUGUGGGCUGAUGACAUUUAUAAUUAUCAAGGAAUCACCCCUACAUUCGCUCAGAAUUUAAUGAAACUGUCCCUUGGGAAGGAAGAACUGAUACCUUGAUAUCACGGUUUGUACAUCCUAUAUAUACGACAAAUUUUAGAACAUUAUAUAACGAAGAACCAGAUCGUCGUGGCCAUGUGAUGUGAAUAAAAGGACUUGAAUUUGAUGAUAUUUUUAUAAUGUUAGAUAACAUAACUAAGUAUCUUCACAGUAAGAUAGGAUGACAUGGUUUACAUGAUCUUAAUGUUGUUCACUCGAGUGAUGAUAUUAUAAGGAAAAGUGUAAUAUCACAGGAUAUUUAUGUUUAGUAACCAGUAAUUCAGAGAUUGGUAUUCAUGGUUACUAUAACGAGGCUGUAGAAACGCACCCUUUCUUCUUUGCAAAUGGUCCUGUAUUUAUGUCUAAGCCGAAACUGAACCUCUGAAUAAUUUAGAUUUAUUCUUGUUAUUUUCUAAAAUACUUAUCUACAGUAUACCAUAAGGAAUGAUACCGUAUCGCACCUAAUCAAGUGCCUUAAGAAACAUCAACAGGAUAUCACAGUAAUCCCUUAUCGACUGAUAUUUGUAGCCACUACAAUAUCUAUGACACUGGUAGUAAUUAUAAGAACAAUAAUGAUGUUCUAUAAGAGGAAAUGAUGAUUAGGAACAAAAACUUACAGGAGAUAUCAUGCGGUGGAUGGAUAAUAUGUAAAAAAUAUUAAGCAGUAUAUGAAUUUUCAUAUUGCGUAGAGAUAACAAAAUGAAUUUUAAAAAAUGUCGACAUGGUAAUAAGAAAUAGCAUCAUGACAAAGA